rnacentral:misc_RNA from 1 species
GAAAUGCGAUAAGUAAUGUGAAUUGCAGAAUUCAGUGAAUCAUCGAAUCUUUGAACGCACCUUGCGCUCCUUGGUAUUCCUUGGAGCAUGCCUGUUUGAGUAUCAUGAAAUCUUCAAAGUAAAGCUUUUGUUAACUCAAUUGGUUUCUACUUUGGUAUUGGAGGUCUUUGCAGCUUCACACCUGCUCCUCUUUGUUCAUUAGCUGGAUCUCAGUGUUAUGCUUGGUUCCACUCGGCGUGAUAAGUUAUCUAUCGCUGAGGACACUGUAAAAGGUGGCCAAGUUAAAUGCAGAUGAACCGCUUCUAAUAGUCCAUUGACUUGGACAAUACUUUUAUGAUCUGAUCUCAAAUCAGGUAGGACUACCCGCUGAACUUAAGC